rnacentral:rRNA from 1 species
AUUGAACGCUGGCGGCAGGCCUAACACAUGCAAGUCGAACGAGUGGCGGACGGGUGUGUCAUGUCUGGGAAACUGCCUGAUGGAGGGGGAUAACUACUGGAAACGGUACCUAAUACCGCAUACCAUCAGAUGUGCCCAGAUGGGAUUAGCGUGUGGGGGGGGUAACGGCUCACCAAGGCGACGAUGCCUCGCUGGUCGGAGAGUAUGACCAGCCACACUGGAACUGAGACCGGGUCAAGACUCCUACGGGAGGCAGCAGUGGGGAAUAUUGCACAAUGGGCGGAAGCCUGAUGCAGCCAUGCCGCGUGUAUGAAGAAGGCGUUCGGUUUGUAAAGUACUUUCAGCGGGGAGGCGUUACCCGCAGAAGAAGCACCGGCUAACUCCGUGCCAGCAGCCGCGGUAAUAC